AGCUCCAAUAGCGUAUAUUAAAGUUGUUGCGGUAAAAAAGCUCGUAGUUGGAUUUCUGUUGAGGGCGACCGGUCCACACAAUGUGUGCGCAUCUGGCUCGGCCUCGGCAUCCUCUCGAUGGACGUUUCUGCGCUUGAUUGCGUGGAGCGGACUUCGGGACUUUUACUUUGAGGAAAUUAGAGUGUUCACGGCAGGCUAUCGCCAGAAUACGUUAGCAUGGAAUAAU
rnacentral:rRNA from 1 species